UAAGGAAUAUUGGUCAAUGGACGCAAGUCUGAACCAGCCAUGCCGCGUGAAGGAUGAAGGUCCUCUGGAUUGUAAACUUCUUUUCUCUGGGACGAAAACGGGAUUUUUAUCUCAAUUGACGGAACCAGAGGAAUAAGCACCGGCUAACUCCGUGCCAGCAGCCGCGGUAAUACGGAGGGUGCGAGCGUUAUCCGGAUUUACUGGGUUUAAAGGGUGCGUAGGUGGGCUUAUAAGUCAGUGGUGAAAUCUCCGAGCUUAACUUGGAAACUGCCGCUGAUACUAUAUGUCUUGAAUUAUCUGGAGGUAAGCGGAAUAUGUCAUGUAGCGGUCAAAUGCUUAGAUAUGACAUAUAACACCAAUUGCGAAGGCAGCUUACUACAUAUAAAUUGACGCUGAGGAACGAAAGCGUGGG
rnacentral:rRNA from 1 species